rnacentral:rRNA from 1 species
GCCUCUUGCAACUCACAUAUAAGAGGUAACGCCUGCCCAGUGACCAUGUGUUCAACGGCCGCGGUAUUCUGACCGUGCAAAGGUAGCGUAAUCACUUGUCUUUUAAAUAAAGACUAGUAUGAAUGGCAUCACGAGAGUUCAACUGUCUCCCCCACCCAAUCAGUGAAACUGAUCUCCCCGUGCAGAAGCGGGGAUAAAACCAUAAGACGAGAAGACCCCAUGGAGCUUUAAACUAAAGGCACUAGCUCUUAAUUUACCCCCAAGGACAAAACAUUAAACCAGUUAAAGUGACCUGUCGUUUUCGGUUGGGGCGACCACGGAGAAAAACAAAUCCUCCGAGAUGAAAGGGUAAACCCUUAGCCAAGACCCACAAUUCUAAGCAAUAGAACAUCUAACGCACCGAUCCAAUCAAAUUGAUCAACGAACCAAGUUACCCUGGGGAUAACAGCGCAAUCUAUUUUCAGAGUUCAUAUCGACAAAUAGGUUUACGACCUCGAUGUUGGAUCAGGGCCUCCUAGCGGUGCAGCCGCUGCUAAGGGUUCGUUUGUUCAACGAUUAAAGCCCUACGUG